AUAAUUACCUGGCAGGGGAAUACCACGAUCAAGAAGGUGGUUUUCACAGGGUGAGGCUCUUCCAUUGUACAUUUUGGUUGCGUUGAACCCAAUGAUUUCCCAAAUGUGGGAAACUCAACUGCAUAAUUUAUGGUUCUGCAUGAUAUGUGUUUGUGUGCCAUGAC